GUAAUUUCAUAGAAAGAGUUAUAUAGACUGUAGGGCUGCGUGUCUCCCCCUAUAAUCCAUGUGCCAGCUCCCUCCUCUCGCUUUAUGUCGUGUGACCCCCCCUUCUGCGUGUGCAGAGUUGUGUGGGGGGUGACAAGCCCAGAAAUGUGACACUGGGCAUGAUGGGGAGUGAGUCACAUGAAAGGGGACAUGAAGUCUACAAAGGGAUUUGGGAUGUGCAGUCCUCGCAAAUCUGGAAACAAUUUG